GCGGUUAUAGCUCAGUUGUAGAGCACUUGCCUCGCACGCAUGAAGCACUGAGUUCGAUCCUCAGCACCACA
rnacentral:tRNA from 1 species